UGCAGUUAUUGUAAAAUAUGAAAUGACGUUUAUAUAAAUUUAUAUUCACAGAUACAUCAUAAAAAGGCUAUAUCCAAAGAUACGUGGAACCUUUUGCUAGACUUCAGUAACAUGAUUGAGGAUGACAUGAGCAAUUAUGAUGAAGAAGGAGCAUGGCCAGUACUAAUAGAUGAAUUUGUAGAGUAUGCUAAACCUAAAGUCACAGGAAAGCAAACAACUGUAUGAUACAACCCUGCUUGCACUAGGAAUAUUGCGGCUGGAACAUGGUCUGUCUGUGGUCAUCUUUUUACAACACAUCAAUUGACAAACUUGGAACUUUGUCAUUAUUUUUCAUGAAGAUCUCAGUGACGACCGUCUAGAAUUUAAGUGCAAUAUCAUCAUAAACAAAAAGCCUUUAUUGCUGGACUGUAAAAGGAUGUUUUCUUUCUAUGACAACCUAAUAUUAAUGACUGUCAAUAGACUCAUAAUACCCUGAGGAUGUACAUAAUGGUAAUAAAACCAAUAUUUUCAUACCAAUUUCUUGUUACAAUAUUGUUACGUAGAUAGGGUGGCUGUCUUCUUAUACAAUCCCUUUUCCCUUUGUAGAUUUGUUAUCUAUUAGUCAGAUUUUUCCUCCCUUUAUAGCCACUCUUUGUAAAGUUUUUAGUUAAAUUAAAAUCAGAGGUAGUCCAUAUCCUUGCAACUAUAACUGAAUACUACUACCUCUGUGAACACUGAAAAUUAAGAUUGAAGUGUUAAACAGAAUUAAAGCAAUUUUUCUACCUCUUA